AAGUCGUAACAAGGUUUCCGUAGGUGAACCUGCGGAAGGAUCAUUGAAGAAUCGCCCCCGUUUUUUUGAAAUGGUUUAUUCCAAACCGUGUUUACAUACCUUUGUUGCUUUGGCAGGCCGCCGCUAGGCGUUGGCUCCGGCUGACUGCGCCUGCCAGAGGACCCAAACUCGUUUGUUAGUGAUGCUGAGUACUAUAUAAUAGUUAAAAA
rnacentral:misc_RNA from 1 species